UGGCGGCGUGCCUAACACAUGCAAGUCGAACGAGAAAGUGGAGCAAUCCAUGAGUAAAGUGGCGCACGGGUGAGUAACACGUGACUGACCUACCUUUUAGUGGGGGAUAACCUAGGGAAACCUGGGCUAAUACCGCAUAACACUUACGAGUCAAAGUCCGCCUCGGCGGACGCUGAAAGAGGGGGUCGCGGCCGAUUAGCUAGUUGGCGGGGUAAUGGCCCACCAAGGCGAUGAUCGGUAUCCGGCCUGAGAGGGCGCACGGACACACUGGAACUGAAACACGGUCCAGACUCCUACGGGAGGCAGCAGUGGGGAAUUUUGCGCAAUGGGGGAAACCCUGACGCAGCAACGCCGCGUGGAGGAUGAAGUCCCUUGGGACGUAAACUCCUUUCGACCGGGAAGAUAAUGACGGUACCGGAAGAAGAAGCCCCGGCUAACUUCGUACCAGCAGCCGCGGUAAUACGAGGGGGGCAAGCGUUGUUCGGAAUUAUUGGGCGUAAAGGGUGCGUAGGUGGUUCGGCAAGUCUUGUGUGAAAUUUUCAGGCUCAACUUGAAGUCUGCACAAGAAACUGCCGGGCUUGAGUAUGGGAGAGGUGAGUGGAAUUUCCGGUGUAGCGGUGAAAUGCGUAGAUAUCGGAAGGAACACCUGUGGCGAAAGCGGCUCACUGGACCAUUACUGACACUGAGGCACGAAAGCUAGGGGAGCAAACAGGAUUAGAUACCCUGGUA
rnacentral:rRNA from 1 species